rnacentral:rRNA from 1 species
AGAACGAACGCUGGCGGCAGGCUUAACACAUGCAAGUCGAACGCGUGUAGCAAUACACGAGUGGCGCACGGGUGAGUAACGCGUGGAUAUCUGCCUUUUGGUUCGGAAUAACCCCGAGAAACUGGGGCUAAUACCGGAUGGUUCCUACGGGAUAAAGAUUUAUCGCCAAAAGAUGAGUCCGCGUACGAUUAGCUAGUUGGUGAGGUAAUGGCUCACCAAGGCGACGAUCGUUAGCUGGUCUGAGAGGACGAUCAGCCACACUGGGACUGAGACACGGCCCAGACUCCUACGGGAGGCAGCAGUGGGGAAUAUUGGACAAUGGGGGCAACCCUGAUCCAGCCAUGCCGCGUGAGUGAUGAAGGCCUUCGGGUUGUAAAGCUCUUUUGGCGGGGACGAUGAUGACGGUACCCGCAGAAUAAGCCCGGCUAACUUCGUGCCAGCAGCCGC